rnacentral:rRNA from 1 species
GACAGAGGGUGCAAACGUUAUCCGGAGUUACUGGGCGUAAAGGGCAGGCAGGCGGGUCGAUAAGUCGGAUGUGAAAUCUCCCUGGCUUAACCGGGAGAGUGCAUUUGAGACUGUCAACCUGGAGGGCAGCAGAGGAGCGUGGAAUUCCGGGUGGAGUGGUGAAAUGCGUAGAGAUCCGGAGGAACACCAGAGGCGAAAGCGACUUCCUGGACCAAUACUGACGCUCAUGUGCGAAAGCGUGGGGAGCAAACAGG